GACGAACGCUGGCGGCGUGCUUAACACAUGCAAGUCGAACGGAAAGGCCCUGCUUUUGUGGGGUGCUCGAGUGGCGAACGGGUGAGUAACACGUGAGUAACCUGCCCUUGACUUUGGGAUAACUUCAGGAAACUGGGGCUAAUACCGGAUAGGAGCUCCUGCUGCAUGGUGGGGGUUGGAAAGUUUCGGCGGUUGGGGAUGGACUCGCGGCUUAUCAGCUUGUUGGUGGGGUAGUGGCUUACCAAGGCUUUGACGGGUAGCCGGCCUGAGAGGGUGACCGGCCACAUUGGGACUGAGAUACGGCCCAGACUCCUACGGGAGGCAGCAGUGGGGAAUAUUGCACAAUGGGCGGAAGCCUGAUGCAGCAACGCCGCGCGCGGGAUGACGGCCUUCGGGUUGUAAACCGCUUUCGCCUGUGACGAAGCGUGAGUGACGGUAAUGGGUAAAGAAGCACCGGCUAACUACGUG
rnacentral:rRNA from 1 species